GCCAAUGGCACUGCCCGGUAGCUAAAUGCGGAAGAGAUAAGUGCUGAAAGCAUCUAAGCACGAAACUUGCCCCGAGAUGAGUUCUCCCUGACUCCUUGAGAGUCCUGAAGGAACGUUGAAGACGACGACGUUGAUAGGCCGGGUGUGUAAGCGCAGCGAUGCGUUGAGCUAACCGGUACUAAUGAACCGUGAGGCUUAACCUUACAACGCCGAAGCUGUU
rnacentral:rRNA from 1 species